UCAAUUUAAUAUUAUCAACCCAUCAUUAGUAUUGAAUAAAUUCAUAAAUUAUGAAAAAUAUUAUGCUAGAACUAGUAACAAGAAAAUGAAUUUCUCCAAAAUGUAAACAUAAACCAAAAUGGACAACCCAUUGGUGAUUAACGACUUUGUACUUAUUAUAGUAAAACAACUAGAAAACUCUAUAUUUUAUGCCGUUAACCUUACACAAGAACUCUUCUGGAAAGAUUUAAAAGGAAAAGAAGGAACUCGGCAAAUUUUAACCCCGCCUGUUUACCAAAAACAUCGCCUUUUGCACAAAUAUAAAAGGUCCAGCCUGCCCAGUGUUUUUAAUCAACGGCCGCGUGAUUUAAGCGCGCUAAGGUAGCGUAAUAAUUUGUUCUUUAAAUAAGGACUUGUAUCAAUGGCAUCACGAGGGUUAUACUGUCUCCUCUCCCCAAUCAGUGAAACUAAUCUCCCUGUGAAAAAGCAGGGGUAAGACUAUAAGACGAGAAGACCCCAUGGAGCUUAAAAUACAGCAGCAACUAUAAUAAUAAUAUCAAUACAAUUUUUAGCCAUGUAUGCCAAUUUUAGGUUGGGGUGACCAUGGAGCAAAACAAAGCCUCCACGACGAAAAGAGUAUACACCCUUAUCCAAGAGAUACCCCUCUAAGAAUUAUUAAAAUAACGUCCAAUGAUCCGACUAUCGACCAACGGACCAAGUUACCCUGGGGGAUAACAGCGCAAUCCACUCUGAAAGCUCCUAUCGACGAGUGGGCUUACGAACCUCGAUGUUGGAUCAGAUAUCCCAGUGGUGCAGCGCUACUAAAGG
rnacentral:rRNA from 1 species